AUUGAACGCUGGCGGCGUGGCUAAAGCAUGCAAGUCGAACGGGUCCGCAAGGACCAGUGGCGGAAGGGUCAGUAACACGAUCGAACGUGCCCCGAGGUGGGGGAUAGCGGCGGGAAACUGCCGGUAAUACCCCAUGAUCUCUCCGGAGCAAAGGUUUACCGCCUUGGGAUCGGCGAUCGUCCUAUCAGCUAGUUGGCGGGGUAACGGCCCACCAAGGCUAUGACGGGUAGCAGGUGUGAGAGCACGACCUGCGACAUCGGGACUGAGACACUGCCCGGACUCCUACGGGAGGCUGCAGCGACGAGUCUUCCGCAAUGGGGGCAACCCCGACGGAGCGACGCCGCGUGUGGGAUGAAGCGCCUACGGCGUGUAAACCACUGUCAGGGGACAGAACCAAUGAUCGUCCCCAGAGGAAGAGACGGCUAACCCUGUGCCAGCAGCCGCGGUAAGACAGGGGGUCUCGAGCGUUAAUCGGAAUCACUGGGCUUAGAGGGUACGUAGGCGGACCGACACGCCG
rnacentral:rRNA from 1 species